rnacentral:rRNA from 1 species
CUACGGGACGCACCAGCUGCGAAUUUUCUACAAUGCACGAAAGUGUGAUAGAGCAAGCCAAAGUGCUUAUCUUUUUGAUAAGCUUUUUCUCGGUGUAAAAACCCGGGAGAAUAAGGACUGGGAAAGACCGGUGCCAGCCGCCGCGGUAAUACCGGCAGUUCGAGUCGCAUCCAUUUUUAUUGGGUCUAAAACAUCCGUAGCUUGUUAAUUAAGUCUCUUGUGAAAUCCCAUGUCUCAAGUAUGGGGCUUGCAGGAGAUACUGAUUAGCUAGAGAUCGGUAGACGUAAAGAGUACGGGUGAGGUAGUGGUAAAAUACGUUAAUCUCACUUGGACUAACAAUUAGCGAAGGCACUUUACGAGGACGAAUCUGACAGUGAGGGAUGAAGGCCAGGGGCGCAAAACGGAUUAGAUACCCCGGUAGUC